GAUGAACGCUAGCUACAGGCUUAACACAUGCAAGUCGAGGGACCGGCGCACGGGUGAGUAACACGUAUCCCACCUGCCCUUUACUCGGUGAUAGCCUUUCGCAAGAAAGAUUAAUACCCGAUAUAAAGGAUGGGGAUGCGUUCCAUUCGGUUGUUGGUGAGGUAACGGCCCACCCAGCCUUCGAUGGCUAGGGGUGCUGAGAGGAAGGUCCCCCACAUUGGAACUGAGACACGGUCCAAACUCCUACGGGAGGCAGCAGUGAGGAAUAUUGGGCAAUGGGCGUUAGCCUGAACCAGCCAAGUAGCGUGAAGGAUGAAGGCUUAUGGGUCGUAAACUUCUUUUAUAUAAGAAUAUGUAUUAUAUGAAUAAGGAUCGGCUAACUCCGUGCCAGCCGCCGCGGUAAUUC
rnacentral:rRNA from 1 species